rnacentral:rRNA from 1 species
GAUGAACGCUGGCGGCGUGCCUAACACAUGCAAGUCGAACGGAGAUUACGGACGGAAGUUUUCGGAUGGAAGACUGUAAUUCUUAGUGGCGGACGGGUGAGUAACGCGUGGGCAACCUGCCCUAUACAGGGGGAUAGCAGCUGGAAACGGCUGGUAAGACCGCAUAAGUCGGUUAAAUCGCAUGAUUUGAUCGGGAAAUGAGCAAUCAGGUAUAGGAUGGGCCCGCGUCCGAUUAGCCAGUUGGCAGGGUAAAAGCCUACCAAAGCGACGAUCGGUAGCCGGACUGAGAGGUCGGACGGCCACAUUGGGACUGAGACACGGCCCAAACUCCUACGGGAGGCAGCAGUGGGGGAUAUUGCACAAUGGAGGAAACUCUGAUGCAGCGACGCCGCGUGAGUGAAGAAGUAUUUCGGUAUGUAAGGCUCUAUCAGCAGGGAAGAUGAUGACGGUACCUGACUAAGAAGCCCCGGCUAACUACGUG